GCCAGUUGGUUAAAGCAGCGGCAGGGCGAUGCGUGGUGCAUUCGUUGGCCGUUAAGUACGCCGAAUUAAAGGGAAACUCAUAUGGCUCCAAGUCACAUACUCAUCUCACAGAGGAAAGGAUUGGCCUGGAUUUGGAGCCCACCCAAUUACCUUCCAGCAGUAGUUUCCAACUACUGUUUGAGGCCUGAAGUGGUGAAAGUAUCCGGUAUUUCAAAAGGAAAAAAGGAAACGCUGAGAUAAAAGUCAGAAAAAUAAACGUAAUUUUGUGUAACAGAAA